ACAGAGGGUGCAAGCGUUAAUCGGAAUUACUGGGCGUAAAGCGUGUGUAGGUGGUUGGAUAAGUUAGAUGUGAAAUCCCCGGGCUUAACCUGGGCAUUGCGUUUAAGACUGUUCAGCUAGAGUACUGUAGAGGAUAGUGGAAUUUCCAGUGUAGCGGUGAAAUGCGUAGAUAUUGGAAGGAACACCAGUGGCGAAGGCGGCUAUCUGGAUAGAUACUGACACUGAGACACGAAAGCGUGGGGAGCAAACAGGA
rnacentral:rRNA from 1 species